AUCGCUUCUCGGUCUUUUGGCUAAGAUCAAGUGUAGUAUCUGUUCUUAUCAGUUUAAAGUCUGGUGAGGGUAGUAGUAGUCUUUAUUGUUUUUCUCCCUAGUUUUU
rnacentral:snRNA from 1 species